rnacentral:rRNA from 1 species
UGGGGAAUAUUGCACAAUGGGCGCAAGCCUGAUGCAGCCAUGCCGCGUGUAUGAAGAAGGCCUUCGGGUUGUAAAGUACUUUCAGCGGGGAGGAAGGGAGUAAAGUUAAUACCUUUGCUCAUUGACGUUACCCGCAGAAGAAGCACCGGCUAACUCCGUGCCAGCAGCCGCGGUAAUACGGAGGGUGCAAGCGUUAAUCGGAAUUACUGGGCGUAAAGCGCACGCAGGCGGUUUGUUAAGUCAGAUGUGAAAUCCCCGGGCUCAACCUGGGAACUGCAUCUGAUACUGGCAAGCUUGAGUCUCGUAGAGGGGGGUAGAAUUCCAGGUGUAGCGGUGAAAUGCGUAGAGAUCUGGAGGAAUACCGGUGGCGAAGGCGGCCCCCUGGACGAAGACUGACGCUCAGGUGCGGAAGCGUGGGGAGCAAACA